GCCUCGGUAGCUCAGUGGUAGUUUCGAGCGAAGCAGAUGAAAUCUGCUUCAACCGCUACGGAGCGUUCGCUUGGUAAGCGAAAGGUCGCGAGUUCAAUCCUCGCCCGAGGCU
rnacentral:tRNA from 1 species